rnacentral:rRNA from 1 species
GACGAACGCUGGCGGCGUGCUUAACACAUGCAAGUCGAACGGAAAGGCCCUGCUUGCAGGGUACUCGAGUGGCGAACGGGUGAGUAACACGUGGGUGAUCUGCCCUGCACUUCGGGAUAAGCCUGGGAAACUGGGUCUAAUACCGGAUAGAAGCCAUCCUUAGGGUGAUGGUUGGAAGGUUUUUUCGGUGUAGGAUGAGCUCGCGGCCUAUCAGCUUGUUGGUGGGGUAAUGGGCUACCAAGGCGGCGACGGGUAGGCGGCCUGAGGGGGUGGACGGCCAAAUUGGGGCCUGGGAUAGGCCCAGACUUCUAAGGGGAGCAACCGGUGGGAAUUAUGCACAAUGGGGGCAAGGCUGAUGGAGCGAAGCCGGGUGGGGGAUGAAGGCCUUCGGGUUGUAAACCCCUUUCGGUAGGGACGAAGCCUUGUGUGACGGUACCUAGAUAAGAAGCACCGGCUAACUACGUG